UACGGAGGGUGCAAGCGUUAUCCGGAUUCACUGGGUUUAAAGGGUGCGUAGGUGGGUUUGUAAGUCAGUGGUGAAAUCUCCAAGCUUAACUUGGAAACUGCCGUUGAUACUAUAGAUCUUGAAUCUCGUGGAGGUAAGCGGAAUAUGUCAUGUAGCGGUGAAAUGCUUAGAUAUGACAUAGAACACCGAUAGCGAAGGCAGCUUACUACACGAGUAUUGACACUGAUGCACGAAAGCGUGGGGAUCAAACAGG
rnacentral:misc_RNA from 1 species